rnacentral:lncRNA from 10 species
GCCACUAGUUCUUUUUUGUGCCUUGCAGAAGUUGGGCUGGUCCUGGUGGAGUGGUUUUCUCUUAGUACGAGGAACACGCUAGAAAUCCUAACAGCAUCUCAUCUUCCCCCUAGGUUCCAGAACGGGAAGUUGCUUCCAGAGUUUUUUAUGUCCCCUCUACGGCGGCAGAUGCCGCAGAGUUCGGCUCCCGCAUGGGGUCCAGCCACCGUCCUCAGAGGGGCUUCCAUGCUGGCGCCCAGCUGCACGGAGCUGACGGCCGCACAUGAGGGCUUUCUAAUAGCACCUUCACCACCCAGCAGAGCUGUGAUCCCCAGCUUCGGAGAUGCAAAUCCACCCACCCUGUAGAAAGAAAUGUGAGGCAGCUGCCAUGCCCAACUUGAAAGUUGAAGAUAUCAAGAAGGCAGCAUAUCUAAUAAUAACAACUAUCAUUGACUCAACG